AGGAUAAACGCUGGCGGCGUGCCUAACACAUGCAAGUCGAACGUCCUUUCCCGCAAGGGGAAGGGAGUGGCGGACGGGUGAGUAUCACGUGGGUUAUCUGCCUUUAGGUGAGGAAUACCGGCGAGAAAUCGCCGACAAUACCGCAUAUCUUUCGUAAGAAGGAAAGCUUCGUAAGAGGUGCCUGAGGAGGAGCCUGCGCCCGAUUAGUUGGUUGGUGGGGUAAUGGCCUACCAAGACGACGAUCGGUAGCUGGUCUGAGAGGAUGAUCAGCCACACUGGGAUUGAGAACGGCCCAGACUCCUACGGGGGGCAGCAGUGAGGAAUUUUCGGCAAUGGGGGCAACCCUGACCGAGCAACGCCGCGUGCAGGAUGACAGUCUUCGGAUUGUAAACUGCUUUUCUCGGGGACGAGGUAAGGACGGUACCCGAGGAAGAACGCCCCGGCUAACUACGUGCCAGCAGCCGC
rnacentral:rRNA from 1 species